CCUGGAACAGGCUGUGCUUGAGGCCGAACUCGAUGCCGGCCACGCUGGUGACGCCGUCGGAGCCGUUCCAGGCCACGAAGUUGUCCAGGUGGCCAGUGACUUUGGUCUGUUGGAGCCGGGCAGACAGAAGAUGGCCCUCACAGAAAACCCUGGUGGCCCGACCAGCAGGAGAUGCACAGUCUUUCAGGAUGAGGAGGAGAGUCACGGGGCCCAGAGGUGACCUGGGCGAGCCACUCAGUUCGCAGAAGUGAUCAUCGGACCACCUGUCGUCCCGGUGGCUGAAAAGGAAGGACAACGUGAGAGGCAGGGACGUGCUGGUGACCGUGCGGGGAAGGCGGUCGACCACGCUGGCACAACGCCGUGUGACGGCCAAUGGAGGACUUGCGACCGUCUUUAAAGAACGUGCUGCCUGAACACCAGCGAUGAAGCUACUCAUGACUCAUGAGCUUGGAGAGAAAACCUACAGACAGAGCGGGAGAGCAAGGUGCCAAACAAAGGAGCAAAUCACAUAACUUGUACUCAAAACCUUAACGUUUCACCCCGUUUUUAGGUCCUACACUGUCAAAACCACCUCCUGAAUUUCCAUGAGAACCAACUAGACUUUGUGUCUUUAGGUCUGAAGUGACCUCGGAGCCACAACCUGGAGAAGCUGGGAAGACAUGGUAUUUUCUUAGCUAUGUUGUGGGUUGUAACAAACGUAAAUAUUCUCUUUCCUCCUACCCACCCCACUGACUUUUUUUUAAACAGAUAAAUUCAUGGGUCUAUGACUAGUUUAUUCCUUAGGGGCUGAAACAACCAGACUCAUCACUGUCUUUCUGCUUGCAUAAAGACUUCAUUUUAUGUUAAAUUUGGGAGAAUAAGUGGAGAUUGUCACAUCUGUUGAAAAAGAAAACUUGGGGUUACUACCAAGUAACCUCCAGGGAAGCCACAAAAUCCCUCUGAACCUU